rnacentral:rRNA from 1 species
GGUUAAGCGACUAAGCGUACACGGUGGAUGCCCUGGCAGUCAGAGGCGAUGAAGGACGUGCUAAUCUGCGAAAAGCGUCGGUAAGGUGAUAUGAACCGUUAUAACCGGCGAUGUCCGAAUGGGGAAACCCAGUGCAAUUCGUUGCACUAUCGUUAACUGAAUACAUAGGUUAACGAGGCGAACCGGGGGAACUGAAACAUCUAAGUACCCCGAGGAAAAGAAAUCAACCGAGAUUCCCCCAGUAGCGGCGAGCGAACGGGGAGCAGCCCAGAGUCUGAAUCAGCUUGUGUGUUAGUGGAACGGUCUGGAAAGUCCGACGGUACAGGGUGAUAGUCCCGUACACCAAAAUGCACAGGCUGUGAACUCGAAGAGUAGGGCGGGACACGUGGUAUCCUGUCUGAAUAUGGGGGGACCAUCCUCCAAGGCUAAAUACUCCUGACUGACCGAUAGUGAACCAGUACCGUGAGGGAAAGGCGAAAAGAACCCCGGCGAGGGGAGUGAAAAAGAACCUGAAACCGUGUACGUACAAGCAGUGGGAGCACCUUCGGGUGUGACUGCGUACCUUUUGUAUAAUGGGUCAGCGACUUAUAUUCUGUAGCAAGGUUAACCGUAUAGGGGAGCCGCAGGGAAACCGAGUCUUAACUGGGCGUUAAGUUGCAGGGUAUAGACCCGAAACCCGGUGAUCUAGCCAUGGGCAGGUUGAAGGUUGGGUAACACUAACUGGAGGACCGAACCGACUAAUGUUGAAAAAUUAGCGGAUGACUUGUGGCUGGGGGUGAAAGGCCAAUCAAACCGGGAGAUAGCUGGUUCUCCCCGAAAGCUAUUUAGGUAGCGCCUCGUGAACUCAUCUUCGGGGGUAGAGCACUGUUUCGGCUAGGGGGUCAUCCCGACUUACCAACCCGAUGCAAACUACGAAUACCGAAGAAUGUUAUCACGGGAGACACACGGCGGGUGCUAACGUCCGUCGUGAAGAGGGAAACAACCCAGACCGCCAGCUAAGGUCCCAAAGUCAUGGUUAAGUGGGAAACGAUGUGGGAAGGCACAGACAGCCAGGAUGUUGGCUUAGAAGCAGCCAUCAUUUAAAGAAAGCGUAAUAGCUCACUGGUCGAGUCGGCCUGCGCGGAAGAUGUAACGGGGCUAAACCAUGCACCGAAGCUGCGGCAGCGACACUAUGUGUUGUUGGGUAGGGGAGCGUUCUGUAAGCCUGCGAAGGUGGCCUGUGAGGGUUGCUGGAGGUAUCAGAAGUGCGAAUGCUGACAUAAGUAACGAUAAAGCGGGUGAAAAGCCCGCUCGCCGGAAGACCAAGGGUUCCUGUCCAACGUUAAUCGGGGCAGGGUGAGUCGACCCCUAAGGCGAGGCCGAAAGGCGUAGUCGAUGGGAAACAGGUUAAUAUUCCUGUACUUGGUGUUACUGCGAAGGGGGGACGGAGAAGGCUAUGUUAGCCGGGCGACGGUUGUCCCGGUUUAAGCAUGUAGGCUGGUUAUCCAGGCAAAUCCGGAUAAUCAAGGCUGAGGUGUGAUGACGAGGCACUACGGUGCUGAAGUAACAAAUGCCCUGCUUCCAGGAAAAGCCUCUAAGCAUCAGGUAACAUUAAAUCGUACCCCAAACCGACACAGGUGGUCAGGUAGAGAAUACCAAGGCGCUUGAGAGAACUCGGGUGAAGGAACUAGGCAAAAUGGUGCCGUAACUUCGGGAGAAGGCACGCUGGUGUGUAGGUGAAGUCCCUGCGGAUGGAGCUGAGACCAGUCGAAGAUACCAGCUGGCUGCAACUGUUUAUUAAAAACACAGCACUGUGCAAACACGAAAGUGGACGUAUACGGUGUGACGCCUGCCCGGUGCCGGAAGGUUAAUUGAUGGGGUUAUCCGUAAGGAGAAGCUCUUGAUCGAAGCCCCGGUAAACGGCGGCCGUAACUAUAACGGUCCUAAGGUAGCGAAAUUCCUUGUCGGGUAAGUUCCGACCUGCACGAAUGGCGUAAUGAUGGCCAGGCUGUCUCCACCCGAGACUCAGUGAAAUUGAACUCGCUGUGAAGAUGCAGUGUACCCGCGGCAAGACGGAAAGACCCCGUGAACCUUUACUAUAGCUUGACACUGAACAUUGAGCCUUGAUGUGUAGGAUAGGUGGGAGGCUUUGAAGCGUGGACGCCAGUCUGCGUGGAGCCAACCUUGAAAUACCACCCUUUAAUGUUUGAUGUUCUAACGUUGGCCCCUUACCGGGGUUGCGGACAGUGUCUGGUGGGUAGUUUGACUGGGGCGGUCUCCUCCCAAAGCGUAACGGAGGAGCACGAAGGUUAGCUAAUCCUGGUCGGACAUCAGGAGGUUAGUGCAAUGGCAUAAGCUAGCUUGACUGCGAGCGUGACGGCGCGAGCAGGUGCGAAAGCAGGUCAUAGUGAUCCGGUGGUUCUGAAUGGAAGGGCCAUCGCUCAACGGAUAAAAGGUACUCCGGGGAUAACAGGCUGAUACCGCCCAAGAGUUCAUAUCGACGGCGGUGUUUGGCACCUCGAUGUCGGCUCAUCACAUCCUGGGGCUGAAGUAGGUCCCAAGGGUAUGGCUGUUCGCCAUUUAAAGUGGUACGCGAGCUGGGUUUAGAACGUCGUGAGACAGUUCGGUCCCUAUCUGCCGUGGGCGCUGGAGAAUUGAGGGGGGCUGCUCCUAGUACGAGAGGACCGGAGUGGACGCAUCACUGGUGUUCGGGUUGUCAUGCCAAUGGCACUGCCCGGUAGCUAAAUGCGGAAGAGAUAAGUGCUGAAAGCAUCUAAGCACGAAACUUGCCCCGAGAUGAGUUCUCCCUGAGACUUUAAGUCUCCUGAAGGAACGUUGAAGACGACGACGUUGAUAGGCCGGGUGUGUAAGCGCAGCGAUGCGUUGAGCUAACCGGUACUAAUGAACCGUGAGGCUUAACCUU